UACGGAGGAUGCGAGCGUUAUCCGGAUUUAUUGGGUUUAAAGGGUGCGUAGGCGGCUUUUUAAGUCAGCGGUGAAAUUUUGCAGCUUAACUGUAACAGUGCCGUUGAUACUGGGGAGCUAGGAUUUGGUUUCUGUGGGUGGAAUGUGUGGUGUAGCGGUGAAAUGCUUAGAGAUCACACAGAAUAUCGAUUGCGAAGGCAGCUCACAAAGCCAAGAUUGACGCUGAGGCACGAAAGUGUGGGGAUCAAACAGGAUUAGAUA
rnacentral:rRNA from 1 species